AUUGAACGCUGGCGGAAUGCUUUACACAUGCAAGUCGAACGGCAGCACGGACUUCGGUCUGGUGGCGAGUGGCGAACGGGUGAGUAAUGUAUCGGAACGUGCCCAGUCGUGGGGGAUAACGUAGUGAAAAUUACGCUAAUACCGCAUACGAACUAUGGAUGAAAGCGGGGGAUCGCAAGACCUCGCGCGAUUUGAGCGGCCGAUAUGAGAUUAGGUAGUUGGUGGGGUAACGGCCCAGCAAGCCAACUAUCUGUAGCUGGUCUGAGAGGACGACCAGCCACACUGGAACUGUGACACGGUCCAGACUCCUACGGGAGGCAGCAGUGGGGAAUUUUGGACAAUGGGCGAAAGCCUGAUCCAGCCAUUCCGCGUGCAGGAUGAAGGCCCUCGGGUUGUAAACUGCUUUUGUACAGAACGAAAAGGUUUCUACUAAUACUAGGAGCUCAUGACGGUACUGUAAGAAUAAGCACCGGCUAACUACGUGCCAGCCGCCGCAGUAA
rnacentral:rRNA from 1 species